rnacentral:tRNA from 1 species
GUCCUCGUAGCUUAGAUCUUGAAAGCACGGUACUGAAGACACCGAGACGGACCCCAACCACUUCCCGAGGAC